UGUAAUAUACCUUUGGACUUAGGAGAAUUCAUUAAGCCAUAAAAUGGCUUGUUACUUGAAUAUCAUGUGAAUUAGUGAGCUAAUGUCAUAAAGCGACAUUGAACUUGGGUCAUAUUGAACCUAGUGGAUAAUGCCAUAAAGAGGCAUGGGAAUUGGAAUAUGCUUAGAUAGAGCAAUGUUAUAGUGUCAUAAAGAGACACUAGGCUUAGUGAAUGUUGGAACUUCACCUUGUGAUAUAGAACUAGACCGAUGGGUUACUAGUGAUGGUUACCAUGUUAGAGACAUGAUGAUUGGGUACUUGAGACGAUAACUAUGCUUGCUUGGCAUUUGUGCUUAUUCGCACUUGCUUGUGAGGGUUGCUCCCUACAAGCCGGCACUCCGGAGUUGGCCUAUGCGACUUAUGUUCGCUCGUGUGGUAUCGAGAAAUCUACGGGGUAGGGAGGGAUAGACUCAUUCCUAGAGUGGGAAUGUUGGAGCUACUACCGGCACUUAGGUGGCACAAGCUGGACUACACUUGUGUAGGUCCUAAAACAAGAUUGAUUAUUGACAUUAAACCGGGAUAUGACAAUCACUACUAGAUAGGCUUAGUAGUUGGAUGACUUGGAUAUGCUUUUAGCAUACUAUUGGACAUUUGGGCGGAUAGAAUACCGGAUAGUAUUACUUGUUGCAUCUUAGCAUACUUGCUUGACAUGUUGGGAUAGACUAGUCAUGCUUUUGACAUACAUGUUCAUAAGAGAAUAAAUGUACAACUUAUUGUUAUCAUAUUAAUUGUGGCUUAGUAGUUUAGCAUUUAUACAUGCUUUCAUAUCUGCAGUUUAUUUUCGUUGCUUUACAUAUCUAUCUUAGUCUUUUGGGCCUUGUGGCGCAAUGUGCUGAGGUCAGUAAUUGCCCACUAGGAACUAUAAAUUAUAGUUCUCAUGCCCCCUGUUUUUUAUUUCCUUUCAGAGCCUUCCACACCGGACGAGGCUAGGGACCGCGGAAAGGGCAUCGCCUCGAGCUAGCUCUUUGGCGAGGGUCGUAUCGAUAGGUGGUCUACCUCUCAUUGGUUUUAUUUUGGAGAGGUUGAGAGUUGUACCUAUGUAUAGAGAUCACCCAUUUUGUAUUUUGAGAUAAUUGUUAUAUCUACUUUAUGCUUUAUUUUUAGUGGAUCAGUUUUCUUUUUCUAUACUUGUUGUUUUUUUUUAGCUGCUAGUUGCUCUGAUAUCUAUAGUGGUCCUACUUUUCCUUACUUUCGUAUCUCUAUUAUUGUAGACGCCUUAUUUGUGCAGGCAUAUGGCGGGUCUGGGCACGCACCCGCCGAGCCUACGUCGUGUCCCGGGGCGUGACAGAUUAAUUUGGUAUCAGAGCCUAGGGUUCAGUCUUAGUGGACCUAGCAAAGCUUAGGCCGGUUGGACUAUAGGAAAUAGCCUCGUGAGAGAUGAGGUUUAUUUGAUCUGUAAGCGUAAGUAUUAUGAUUGGGUUUUAUGAUAACUCUAAAAAGUUAGAGUUUAAUCGGAGUGUAUUGCUUCUAACUUCGUGGACGGUUACGUUGGCGGCCAACAACGUAACAUCGGGAGUUAGUAGUGAAGAACACUUUCUUACUUUCGCAUGAUUUGGGUACUUACUUUUGAGUGAGGUUGCGAUAGCGUGUGUUUUACUAACUUGCACUUUUAUAAUGUUGUAGUGAUAAUGCCGAUUACACGCUCCAAAUCGGUUGGAGCGGACAAUGCGGCUAAUCUUAAGGAGGUGGAGACCUUCGUUACCUCCGGAUCCGGCGAGAUCCGUGAGUUGAGGAGCCAGCUUGCGGCCCUCACUGACUUGGUCGCGCAGCAGGCGGCGGCGGCUCAGCAGCAGGCGGAUGCGGCGCACCGGCAGGAGGCACCGAUGAAGUGUCUGGAGGAUCUUUUGCUGCAGCAGACGGCAGCCAGGGAAGCUGAAGUCCCUGCACCACCUGCGCCGGUAGAGGUGGUUGCGCCCAGGGUGUCGUCCCCUGCACUCGACACUUCUAGGACGGCCCCUGUGGUGGCACCUCGGGAGGAGGACGUUAUGGCGCCACCAGCACAGGUGCCUUUGGCGGGGAUAGUUUUUCCCGUGAUGGUUGAGGGAACUGAGCGGGAUCAACUCAUGGAUCGCCUCAACGAGUUCAGGAGGUGCAACCCGCGAAUUUUUGACGAAGAGAAGGUGGACCACUGGAUAGUGGAGAAAUGGCUCAUGCAUAUGGAGAAGUUAUUCCACGACACCUUCUUGGAGGAGAGGGAGAGAGUUUGGUUCACCACACAUCAUCUUGACGGCGAGGCCUACCGUUGGUGGCUGGAUAUUCGGGACAACCCGAACACGGAUUUGUCGGCAAUCUCGUGGAAGAGAUUUAAGGAGCUUCUGAUGGCCAAGUAUUUUCCAGAGAGCGUCAAGAGAAAGAUGGAGCAAGACUUGCGCAGCUUGCUCCAGGAGGAGCGGACGGUGGCCGAGUACGAGAGGGAGUUCUCUCGGCUUUUGCACUGCGUGCCUUUUGUCGUGUGGGACGACGAGGACAAGGCCCGCAUUUUCGAGCGUAGAUUGCGGCCCUCGAUUUUCCGGUUGGUGUAGUCCUCCAACCUUCAGACUUAUCGAGAUGUGGUGAACCACGCGCUCAUCAUAGAGAGCGGCGCAGUGGAGUUGCAGGAGGGCCGAGAGAGCAUGGACAAGGGGAAGGGCAAGAGACCCGCGGCUGAGGGUGCGAGUGAGACGCACUCACGGAGGCCGCUGAGGCACCCCAAAAGCCGGAGCCAGUAGCGAGGACGUGGCUCGUCUACUCAGCGAGGAGGACCUGAUCAUCGCCAGGCUCCGCGCUGCGUGAUCUGCGGUGGUCCUCAUUUCCCACGGCAGUGUUCAUGCAGUCGGGGCAGGUGCUACUUGUGUGACUAGGAAGGCCACUUCGAGUCGGAUUGCCCGAGGGGCCCAGCGCCAGCGCCAUCAUCGGCAUCAGCACCAGCUUCAUCGGGUCCCAGCCAGGGGACACCUUUUGCUCACUACCAGGCCGGACGGCCACCAGUUCAGAGGCAGACGGAGGGGUCACGACAGGCCCCGAGCGGGCGCAUGUACGCGGCCCAGACUGAGGAGGCGGCAGCUGCCGAGAAUGUGGUUGCAGGUAUAAUUUCAUUAAAUGGCAUUCGAGUUCGUGCAUUGUUUGAUACCGGUGCAUCGCAUUCAUUCAUUGAUCGGCUAUUUGUCGAGUUGCAUGGCAUCCCCUUUGUUUUCUUGUUGCAUCCGAGACGUGUCGUCGUCCCCGACCACUCCUUGGACAUUAGAGAGUUUUGCCCCAGUUACCCGAUUCGGAUAGGAGAUUGGAUCAUACCCGUGGAUUUGCUAGUUUUGCAUAAACUCGAAGAGUUUGAUGUAGUUUUGGGUAUGGAUUGGUUGACCAAGUACUUCGCCACUAUCGAUUGCAAGAAUCGAACGGUGACUUUUAGAGAGCCAGAGCAGGUGGAGAUUGUAUACCGUGGAUGCCAGAGUUCGCUAUUUGCGAUAACGAUUAGCUCCUCUCGAGCUAGACAGUUGAUUAGCAGAGGCUGCGUAGCCUAUUUGGCUACUGUGGUGUUGAGGGGUGAUGCCGACACUCCUAGGAUUGAGGAUAUCCCCGUAGCGCGGGAGUUUGGAGAUGUGUUCCCAGCGGAGCUUCCGGGAAUGUCACCUGAUAGGGAGAUUGAGUUUGUGGUAGAUCUCGUCCCCGGGACUACUACACUCUCAAAAGCGCCCUAUAGGAUGGCACCAGCGGAACUGAGAGAGCUGAAGGCUCAGUUGUAAGAUCUUCUGGACAAGGGUUUUGUGCGACCGAGUGUGUCACCUUGGGGAGCACCGGUCCUAUUUGUCAAGAAGAAGAACGGAUUACUUUGCUUGUGCGUGGACUAUCGUGAACUUAAUAAAGUCACGAUUAAGAAUAAGUAUCCGUUGCCGAGGAUCGAUGAUCUAUUUGAUCAGCUUCAGAGAUCUAGUGUGUACUCCAAGAUCGACUUGCAGUCGAGAUACCACCAGUUGAAAAUCAAGUCUGAGGAUGUGUCGAAGACGGCUUUUAGAACACGGUAUGGACAUUACGAGUUUACUGUUAUGCCGUUUGGGCUUACUAAUGCCCCGGCAGCUUUUAUGGAUCUAAUGAACCGUGUUUUCAAGCCUUAUCUAGACAGGUUCGUCGUGGUGUUCAUCGACGACAUCUUGGUCUAUUCCCGGAGCGAUGCGGAUCACGAGAAACAUUUGAAGCUAGUACUUCAAGUACUCCAGAAAAAGAAGCUCUAUGUCAAAUUGAAAAGGUGUGAGUUUUGGCUUAGAGAGGUGGUGUUUUUGGGCCACUUGAUUUUUGUAUCGGGUAUAGCUGUGGAUCCGAGGAAAAUUGAAGUUAUCAAGGAUUGGCCGAGGCCGACGAGUGUCACCGAGAUACGGAGUUUUAUUAGUUUGGGCGGCUAUUACCUACGGUUUGUUGAGGGAUUUGCAAGUUAUCUACUCCCCUCACGAGGCUCACGCAUAAAGGCGUUAAGUUUAUCUGGAAUAAUGCAUGCGAAAGAAGCUUUCAAGAGCUGAAGCAGAGAUUGACGACUGCCCCGAUCCUAACCUUGCCAAUUGCUGGAGCAGGGUAUGUGAUUUAUAGUGGUUCUUCCUUUAAUGGAUUGGGCUGUGUCUUGAUGGAGGACGAAAAAGUGAUCGCGUUUGCUUCUCGCCAGUUAAAGGAGUAUGAAAGGAAUUACCCUACUCACGACUUGGAGUUGGCGGCCGUAGUCUUUGCAUUAAGGCUAUGGCGCCAUUAUCUUUAUGGCGAGCGGUGUGAAGUAUAUACGGAUCACAAAAGUUUAAAGUAUUUAUUCACUCAGAAGGAGUUGAACUUGAGGCAGCGCAGAUGGUUGGAGCUACUCAAGGAUUAUGAUUUGACGAUUCUUUACCACCCGGGCAAGGCUAACGUGGUGGCGGAUGCGCUAAGUCAGAAAUCGAUGGAAAACUUAGCGAUGCUUGUUUUUACUCAACCGUCCUUGAUCGAGCAGAUGAAAUGGUUGGGAUUGGAGGUGGUGGCUCCUGAUACACCUUUGAGGUUGAUGGCUUUGGUGGUACAACCUACCUUUUUGGAUAGAAUCAAAGAAAAGUAAGCUCACGAUGUGGAGUUACAAAGGCUUAGAGCUAAGAUGGUUGAUAGUUUCACCGGCGACUUCACUUUGGACGGUGUUGGAUUGAUGCGUUUCCGCCGGUGGUUGUGCGUACCGGCGGAUUUGGGUAUUAAAGAGGACAUUCUUCAAGAAGCACACCGUGCACCUUAUGCGAUUCAUCCGGGAGGCACCAAGAUGUACAAGGACUUGAAGUUGCUAUAUUGGUGGCCCGAAAUGAAAAAGGACGUUGGUGAGUUUGUUGCUAGAUGUCUAACUUGCCAACAGGUGAAAGCUGAGCAUCGAGUCCCCGCGGGAAAAUUGAAGAGCUUACCUAUUCUAGUGUGGAAGUGGAAGAAGAUCACUAUGGAUUUCGUGAUGGGAUUGCCUCGCUCACAGGCCGGGUAUGAUGCUAUUUGGGUGAUCGUGGAUAGGUUGACGAAAUCGGCUCAUUUUAUACCUAUUCACACUACUUGAACUGGUGAGAGACUCGUACAGGUAUAUCUUGAUGAGAUUGUGCGAUUGCACGGGGUACCUACUUCUAUAGCUUUGGAUCGAGAUCCCCGUUUUGUAUCUCAUUUGUGGAGGAGUUUGCAGGAUGCCUUGGGCACGCGCUUGGAUUUCAGUACAGCUUUCCACCCUCAGAGUGACGGGCAGUCUGAGCGCACUAUACAAACUCUUGAGGAUAUGCUUCGAGCCUGUGUGAUCGACUUCCAGGGAGGAUGGUCGCAGCAUCUAUGUAACAUACCGAACUUAUAAAAUUAUGAAGUUACGGUGUACGUUUAAAUGGUUCCGGUGAGGUUGCGGUGGAAUGUAACAUACCGGGUUUUAAAUAUAAAAAUGAAAAUAAAUAAAAAUAGUAUGAGAUACUGUUUUUAUUGGAUUUAGAGAAGUGAAAUAUAGGUUGGGAAUGACCUGUGCUGAAAUCGGAGCGAAAACAGGAGAUUUAGAAUUUUCUGUUGGAAUUGGGACAGAUAAAUUAGCAGAAAAUGCACAGUCUCAGAAAAUUAUGAAAAUUGGCGGGGAUGUCAGAAUUAUUUUUAUGAGACUAGAUUUAA
rnacentral:lncRNA from 1 species